rnacentral:RNase_MRP_RNA from 1 species
CACAGCACAGUUAUGCGGAUGGUGCCGCGGAUCCUUCCGCGGCGCUAACUCAACGGAGCUUAUGUUGGGGC